rnacentral:rRNA from 1 species
UUGAACGCUGGCGGCAUGCUUUACACAUGCAAGUCGAACGGUAACAGGUUAAGCUGACGAGUGGCGAACGGGUGAGUAAUGCAUCGGAACGUGCCCAGUCGUGGGGAUAACGCAGCGAAAGCUGUGCUAAUACCGCAUAUUCUGUGCGCAGGAAAGCAGGGGAUCGCAAGACCUUGCGCUAUACGAGCGGCCGAUGUCAGAUUAGCUAGUUGGUAGGGUAAAGGCCUACCAAGGCGACGAUCUGUAGCGGGUCUGAGAGGAUGAUCCGCCACACUGGGACUGAGACACGGCCCAGACUCCUACGGGAGGCAGCAGUGGGGAAUUUUGGACAAUGGGCGAAAGCCUGAUCCAGCCAUGCCGCGUGAGUGAAGAAGGCCUUCGGGUUGUAAAGCUCUUUCGGCUGGGAAGAAAUCGCACAGGCUAAUACUCUGUGUGGAUGACGGUACCAGCACAAGAAGCACCGGCUAACUACGUG